UCCGGACCCGCCCCGGAGCUGACGCCAUCCCGUUGCCGGGCGGCCGGCGUCCCGGGUACGGGCCAGGUGGCCGGCGGCACGGCGCCAUGAAGGAGGCAGAGCUGAGGAGGCUGCUGGCUGCCAACCUGCUCUGCUUCGUCUCCAUCGUCCUGACCGCACUCGUACCGGCCUUGUUCCUGGAUGGGUUCUCGGUUUUGGGCACUCACCUCACGUGGCUGUGUGUUUGUUCUGUCUGUGUUAGCGUCCUUAACGUAACCUUGUGUUUAAUCCUAAAGCCAAGUCCGUCUUCUAAGAGAAGCUCGCUGUCUAACAAGAUAUCCAGAUUUCUAAAAUGCUGUAUAUACUUUUUCAUGUCUUGCAUACUAUUUCAUGCGAUUAUUGUUCUUUAUGGAGCACCUCUCAUAGAGUCAGUGACUGAGACAUUUUUGUUUGCAGUUCUCCUGUCUACCUUUACCACUUUACAAUGUUUAUGUUUGCUGGGACCAAACAUACAAGCUUGGAUACGAGUAUUUAGUAGAAAUGGAGCUAUGUCCAUCUGGGAGAACAGCCUACAGAUUACUACAAUGUGCAGUAUACUAGGAGGUUGGUUUGGAGCAUUUCCUAUUCCUCUUGAUUGGGAUCGGCCCUGGCAGGGAAGAAAUGAUGCUCUCCCAGUGUUUCAGAUCCAUACAAACACUUAAGAGAAUACAUUUGAAAUAGAUUUGGAUUGAUUUGUGGAGAUGGUGUGGCCAAAGAACUGUACUACAGUCUUAACUUCUGAUUUCAGAGGAAGGCAAGGAUUAGCUUUGUAACUGCACAAUAAAAAAUGCUUGCACUGCAGAUUCCGUCUUAAUAUAUUCUAAUUGUCUGUGUUAUUUUCUUCAUAUUUUUUUGUCAUGGAGAAAUGAUUAUAUAAAACAGUGAAAAUCUGCAUUUGCCCUAAAAUGAUGAUGUCGGUACCAAUUUGCACUGAAGAUCCUCAGUGGGUAUUUUCAUUACCUCCAGUUACCAACCUCUAAAACUCUCUGCUACACAAUAUCUUUGAGGCCUGUUUGUAAGCAGAUGGUUUCAAAGGUGUAUUUCAGAAAUCAGUAUAACAGCCAACAUGCUUUUUCUUUCUGAUACUGUGGAGACUUAGAGCUGCCAUAGAAAUGUGUCGUCCUGAAAUAGCUAGCAGCCUUAUGCCAUCAUAAGUAGAGGAGUAGGGUAGUACCUUACAUAUAAAAUGAAGUUUUCCUCUCUAAAACGGCUUGGAAUUAUUUUUUUGCAAGGUACCUACAUGAGACUGAUGGUAAAGUAUGUGUUGGCAACCAGUUAAUUGUUGGCUGACCUUCCCUGAUACUGCCUAAAAGACAAGGGGUUCAUUGAAACGCAGUGUUAUGUCCUUCUGCAUUGAGAGACAAGCAGUUCUCUUCUUGCUCAGCUAUGUUUUUAAAUGCUGUGUCACAUCUGGCAGUUUUUAUUUAACUCUUUUGCUUACACCCAAGAUUUGUCACAGUAUCUUCACUCAUUGGCAUUUGUGUAUUGAAUCAUUCUAUGUAAGUGUUGAUAAAAACUUGGAUUUAUAUGAGCAUAUAAUGGCAUGUUGUCCAUUUCCCUACUCCAUUGACAUUUGUCAGAAAGAAGUACUGAAUGCUCUGUCUCUUCUUUCUUUGGUGUCAUUCACAAAAGAAAAUCUAAGAGUUGCAUUUCCUAGUAUGGGACUUGGUCUUGGGUGAAAAUUGUGUGUAUGAGUGUAGCACAGUUGGACAGGUCAAUGUGAUGGUACUAUUGGCACGAUAGAAGGGUGCUAUAAGGGAAGAAGAUUGCUCACUUGUGUCAGGUUUGCAGGGAGAAACUCCACCAGGGAGGGAUCUCCAGAAAGACCCUUCCCCAAUGGCAGUCAGCCCUUAAAUGGGGUCUAGGAGAGGUACAGCCAGGCUCCACCCCUUCCAGUCACACAGCUGAAUUGCCUUCACCUGUUCACCCAGGGCUUUUUCUGCUUGAAAAGUCUUCAAAGUCAUACAAGCUGAACAUAACAGACUUACUGAAGUUGAGAUCUGGAAUCUGUAAAUCUAAAAACUCAUUAUCUGACUCCUCCGGACAACAAAGAAUUGGCAGAAUCCUCAAAUAUUGUAACUUGUCACUAGUUGUUUCUGCAGGCAUGAGUGCUCCCCACUCCAUGUUUUACCUUGUGGAAUUUAAAAUAAUGGGGUGGGAGAAGAAAUCUUAAUUUCCAUUUUGAGUCUGAAGUGCUGGAUCAUUAGUUGAAUCAUCGUCUGAGUAAUCCAAGAGGUCAGAUGAAUGGAGAAGUUUGCUUAUCGGAUCUGCAAGCUGCCAUUUCAGCAGUCAGAAAAUUUCAUAUUUAGGUGCUUUUUAAAAAUUAUUUUUUUUUUUUUUAAGGAUCUGCUUUAUAGGGAAAAAUGAAAGAAGCUCUUUGUAAAAGCCUUUAUAUUUUAUAGCUGUAUUGCAGCGAAGCACAAAAAUGGUAGCCAGUGUUGAAAGCAGGAGUGGAACUCCUUUAAGGAGGCUUCUUAGAGAUCCUGUUCAAGACUCUCAGAGGUUUGCAGUUAUUGAUCUAUUUACUUAUUUAUUUUAAUGGUUUUGGCUUUAGUGUUUGGUUCUUUUUAAAUUUGUUUUUCCUGAACAUGAAGUCUUAAGUGUUGAUAAAUAAAGGGACAAAUGUAGUUGUAAAUUCACUUGCUUUAGGAAGAAAAUAUUUAGUGCAGGUUGACUUCCUGAUCAUAAAAUUAUCUGUACGUAACACAGUUAUGGAAGAAGGUUCACUGAAGGAAAAAAAAAGACAUGAGCUGGAAGUGUUCUGUGUAGAUCUUAAUCCAACUGGCAUGCUUACAGGAACACCUACAGAUUAAGUCCUAGGCAAGGUGUGGAAAAUAUCAUGUAGAUAUUAAUGUAGGCUCAAAAGUACUGACAGCCCAGUCAAAACUCUGCUGGUGAGACCUUACUUGGAGUACUGUAUCCAGAUGUGGAGUCCUUACUAUGGGAGAAAUAUAAACCUGUUGGGUGUGUGUCCAGAAGAGGGUCACAAAAAGGAUCCAAGGGAUGAGACAUCUCACCCUAUACAAGGACAGGCUGAGAGCUGGGGCUGGUCAGCCCAGAGAAGAGAAUGCUCUGGGGAGACCUGAUAGCGACUUCAGUAUCUAAAGGGGGGCUUUAAGAAGAAAGGGGCAGAUUCUUUAGUAGGUUCUGUUGUGAUAGGACAAGGGAAAAUGGUUUCAAAUUAAAAGAGGGAAAAUUUAGACUGGAAAUAAGAAUAGUUUUUACAGUAAGGGUGGUGAGGCGCUGAAAAAGGCUACCCAGGGAGGUGGUGAAAGCUCCAUCCUCGGAGACAUAAUAAAACUAGAGUAGUUUAUAGUAUAUUACCUAUAUCUUGCCUUAUCAGAAAACCAGAUUUCAGUAUGUCUAGUACAUCUUUCACUGGAACUCAUUUUCAAUUCAAAAAGAUUAAGAUUUCAGUGGAGCAAACUUAAUAAAAAACUGAAUAAAAAUUCAAAAUCAGGAGUUGCAAUCCGUGUCCUAACAGCUAAACCCAAAAUGCUGCUUCAUACUUGGUUACCAACUAAAAACAUAUUGGUUCUUUGUGCAUACUUCUUGUGGCCCAUAAGAAAAACAAGAUAAAUGCUGAUAUCUCAGAAAAUCUUUGCUUUAUUUUCCAUGUUCAUAUUGUGAAAAAUAAUUGCAUACAGGGGAUAUAGAGAUUAGUGGCCCUAUACUUAAAUAUAAUUAUGUAAAACACUUCUUUUGGCAUAUAACUGACAACUUUUAUUCUAAGUAAAUGAAACUCAGCAGGAACAGAAUAUUAUUCUGGAAAUAAAAUGACGUUCAUUGUCUGUGUAAUGUUUCAGAAUGGAAAUGAAAAACAUAUAAAGUGUUUCUGCUAGAAGAAUAAAACACAUUGCUGAAAGUCAUUUGGUAUCCCGAUUCGUUGUUCUUUAUUAUUCUGUUGCUAUUCAUAAAGUAACCUUUUAAGGUAGAGUUUGGCCACACCUGUUGUCUCUCUGCUACUUUUCAGUAAACUUUAUUUUCUAACUGUGCGAAACAGUUGGUCAGGGAGACCUACCAGGUGAUUCUUUCUGGUUAUAGAAGAAUUAAGAAUGCUGCAGAAUUAAUCCAAUCUCAGGCAAAGGUAAAGAUGUAAGGACAGAUGUUGUGCAGGAAAGCAAGUCCCUACAGCAGUUACAUUUCUGUAUUGAAAAAGAAACAACACGCUUUUCAGGACAUAAUACACUACAACAUGUCAACGAGUCUUGCAGAGAAAAAAAUGUCAUAUUGGUAGAAUGGGUAUUUUUUCAGUGUCUUGAGCUUACUGUCAAAUUUGUACCAAGUUUUAGAAAUCAUUGUGGGGCUUAAUUGUGAUCGCUUGACUAUUCUAGAUGAUGAUCAGAAAUUCAAGUGUAUCCAUAGCCAGUUGCCUCUAGCCAUCUGAUGCACAGUGGUUAUGUGAGGAUUGGGGUUGGUGAGAAUAGUUUCAGCAAAGAAAAAGGAAAUAACUUCCCUUGCUGCAGUUUCUUAGUUGUUGGGGUUUGUUUGUUUGUUUUCCCAGACUGACUGUUUUAGGUUGAUGGUGCAGUAAGCACAAGCGAUUAGGAUCCGAGCUUUGUGUGUCAUCUGAGAAGUGGCACCUCAAAGCACAACAUUGCUGAAACAGAGUGGGAUAGUUCGGGUGGUAUUAGACACAAAGUGACACAUCCUUUCUUUGCACAGUCUGAGGUAACUGAGUUGCAGAACAAGAUGGUAUAGUUAAAGAUGAAAACCCUAUCAAUAUACUCUGCAUGCUGUAGAACUAGUAUUCCAGACAUCCAAUACAUCACUCACAAACUUUAUUUAGCAAAGAGUGAAGUUCCUGGCUUUAUUGCAUAUUUUGACACUGGAUUUUAAAAACUGUUUUCAUGGCCAUCCCUUUUUCUCAUCGUGUAAUACUGAUGAUAAAAUGUGACUUUUAAACCAUAUCUUGUCUACAGUGUUUUUGUAUCACAUGUGACAGUGACACUGAAGAAUGAGUUCCUAUUUCAUACUGAGUGUCUGUAACAUAACAUGUAGAGCUGAUAACAACUUGAGUUGUUCUAUUAACUACAGGAGAAAUUUUGUUGUAAAACAAGUUGCUUCAUAAGAGUAGCUGGGAUAAUAUCCACCGAAGUGGGGGAAGUGUUGGAUUUGGGUUUUGGGGUGUUUUGUUUGUUUGUUUGCUUUAAACAGAGGUAGAAGCUUGUUCCACUUCAGCUGGGUUAUCAUUGUUUAUUUAAAGGUAUGUUUUUUCUUAGUGUAAACCUUAAUGGUGAAAUCAAAGGCAGCCAUGCUUGCUAGAACGUUAGAACACAAAUCAACAAAACCAUCUUCUGGUUACAAAUGCCAGCCAGAAAGAGUCUUCACACUUUGCUCUCUGCAGCACGUGCUUGUCAACGUACACAUUCUGUACAAUGUGAUAAGACACUUUCACUUAACAUUCACACAACCAAAAUGGGUUAAAAGUAUGUUUUGAAAAUGUUAAGACAGUGCAGACUAAACAAUCUGUAAUUUAAGGCGUGUCAGAAACAGAGGGAAAAUCAUUAUGUUCAUUUAUUCGGUUCUUAAGUGAAAUAAAAAUCUUACACAGCUUUCUAAUUGACAGCCAGAAAUGGAUCUUUGGAAAUAAUAAUACAAAAAAAUCCUAGUGUAGGCAUAUGAGAAAAGCACUUAUCUGCAGAAUGGGACCGGUCUGUUUGUUUAUUUAUUUAAAGAAUAAAUGCAGUAGAUUACCCCACUCUGUUUGUACCAGCAGUCAUAUGCUUACUUUACCCCUUAAAGCCUUUAUUAGGCUUUUACUGCUCUGCUCUGCUCUGUAAGAAUCUGACCUUUAUGUCAUUAUCAGUACCAACAUGCUUCCUACUGCAUGUUGCGGACUCAUAGUAGAGGACAAAACUGUCAUGCGGCCAGAAAUCUGCUUUAACUAGCUACAUGUGUAAUAUAGCAGAGCAAGGAUCUCUUUCCAUGCAAGACAUUAAGUAUUCUCAAGUCAGCUCGUAGGUGUUCUAAAGAGCACUUAGGAAACAAGCUCAUUUAUUUCCUGAAAGGCUGGCAACUCCUUUUCUCAUUCUUAGAAUAAGUUCUUAGACUUUCUUAGACUAGAAACCUCAGAUCUGUGAGGUUUCUGUGAGACCUCACAGUGUCUGUUAAGCCAGCCUAAAAAAAUUCCUGUGAAGUCCUAUCAGCACUGCCAGGUUAAAAGAACAAGGCAUGAAGAAAAUUGAAAGCAGAAGUCAGGGUUGCUUUCCAUUAACCACUGGCUUCUGCUCUAUCCCUUGAAAUUUGUUUUCUGUACUUGCUAAGCAUGCAGGUGGGAUUUGUUGUUGCCGAGCUGCUAUUCAGAUUCUUAGCAAUCAAAUACACAUUGUUAGGACUAGUCUGUUUCCACAUGCAUUUGGUACAUACGCUGACUGUUUUUAUAUUAGGCUGUGAGGAUGGUAGCAGGUGCUUCCCAGCUGCUGGGAUGCACAAGGUAUUUCACAACAGUUUCCUGAAGAAUGUUCUGUCCUGCCUCCUACACUCUCCAUAUUUUUCUCUGCAGAUCAACUUCCUCUCCCUCAAAAAACUGCAGUUAGGUAACAUUGCCUAACAUCUUAUUUUCCUGCUGCUGACCCAUGUACUCCACCCCAAGCAUGACAUCAGUGCUGGAAUAGGUUAUAUCAGCUUCCUCAUGGCAGAAAGGAGCACAAAGGAGGAGAAACUGAGCUGAGCAGUUUUCAGAAAGUGAAAGGAAUACAAUACAAGUUGGGUACUUUUAACAAGUGGGAUGGAUGGAAUCUCUUACAAUUGGCAGAUGUCUAUCAGCUGCUUAGAUUUUUAUCAGUCGGUACUAAGUCAGGAAUGCCAAACCAAGUUUAAGAGAAAACAUGGAAGACAGGGCAAAAGUAGAUUGAUCAAGGAAGUCAAUUUCAUUUAAAAAGGUUCAUCAGAAAGUGACUGUACCUCAGAAACACAAGGCCAGCACCUAAUGAAAAAGAAAGCAGGCUGCUUUCUUUGGUCAGCGCAAUGCAGUACAUUUACCACAGACUGUGAAGCAUACACAGGGCUGUUAUUUCAGCAGCUGAUGAGCUUAGGAACCACAUAUUAAUAUUUCUUUGAUUUGUUUCUUGGGUGCAUCUGGCUGUGUGGCAAUGGUCAAGAAUAAAAGUUACAGAGCUUGCACCAUUACUUGUUUAUUGUUUUGACCUGCCUUGAGAGGUCAACUCAACAAACUCAUAGUUGUCCUCAUAAGGACAACUACUCUCUUAUGUCCAGGCUUGUAGCUCCUGUGCUUAGGGAGUUUUUGAAAGGCCAAAGUGACUUCACAACUGCUUUGGGCCGUCUGACCAGCAUAAGACACAUAGGCCAAUAACAAUAAGGCAUCUGGUAACGUUUGUUUUUUCUAUGGUACUCUUCUAUGCCACUAGAGGUGUUUUUUUCUAUCACAGUUAAUGAGAUGGAGCAUUGUACGGUUUUGCCCCUUACCUUUGAUGUCUGCCAUGGGUGAGGGAUGGAUUUCAGGUCAUGUGGUACGACAGCCUGAAUGCUCGCGAGAUAACACUGAUUUUUUUAAAAAUCAAAGCAAAAACUGAAUGUCUUGGAGGGCAGACAGAGGUAUCAGCAAUAUUAAGUUACAUAGUUCAGGAAAACUGUUGAGAAACUGAGCUCUAAGUUGUGAUUCAAUCAGGCAAAAAAGGUACAGCAAUCAACAGAGAUCAUUUUAAUGGUUUCAACAAUUGCUCACUAUACACAGAAUACCAAAAAAUACAUAGUGAACGGGUCAGCAGAGAUAUUGACCUUACUGGUUAAGGGAACAUGAAAAAUUCAGAGUCUGACAUCUGCUCAUACUUCUGAAAAGCAAUUUGGCUACAAUAGAUUCACCUAAUGUAGGUAAAAUUUAACGAAGGAUCGUUGAUCGCUCACAGAGAAUUUGAUGCAAAAGAAGACUGCAGAGUUAUGAAGUUUCUCUCAUUAGUUUUGUUAGAAUAGUAUUUGACUUUAACCAGUGGAUAAGAAAGUCUGACUGCUGUUUCCACUGAACGUUACCAAGUAGCUGAGGUCUGGGGGACUUUUUUUGCUUUUGUCCUUUAGACACUUAAAAUAGCCUGCAAAACGUUAGAAAUAACUUGAUUACAUUUCUUUUAAAAGUCCAAAAGAUCUACCUGAAGCAUAGGUUCAGCCAAGGCCACAAAGUCAUGUGAGUUUUAAAUAUACAUAAUAUCCUACUGCGCCAAAGCAUCUCAAGGCUUUAUAUAGAAGAUCUACAACGCCACUGUUAACUGAAUAGAAACAAACAAGUCUUUGGUUUGAGAGGCAGCAGCCAAAACAUUCUAGCAACAAAACCAAGUAGCAGAGAUACAACGUUUGGAAAUGGAAGGAUGAAACAAGGUCAAUAAAGAGUACCUAAGGCACCUUGUUUAUAGUCAUCUUUGCUACACUCCUUAAGACCUCCAAAUAAUAUAUAAAACUGCAAAUGCUAAGGAAUGUGAAGAUGAAACAGCAGAGGACAAAAAUAAGUUACUCUUAUUUCUAGUUAAAAUUCCCAUGCUUGAAGGAUGUGAAUAAAUCUAUUUCUCCCUGUGAUAAAUGAGAGGAAGGAGAAACCAGUACCGUUAAGAGUAAGUUCAUUAGAUUCUCAUGAGUUGCCAGUCAAAAUGAAGUAGGAAAAAAGGCUGGACACUGAGAUGUGGAUAUUUUCUUUAAUGUCUAGUGCAUUUCUCAGUCUCAAGUACUAUAGAAGGGGGAAUAUCCCCCUUAAUUUAAAAAACAAAGAAUAGGACAGUGCAGUCUGUACUAGCUUAGGGACUGUACAGCAGGAUGUGCAAAAUUGUCCCUGCAAUAUACAAAGGAGAAUUGUGAAGAGAGGUGGGAAUUCAGUUUAUUCUACAAUAAAUAUUUUUAAUCACCAACUUAGUUGGGACCUUCAUCAAAUGCAAGUCGCAAUUGACUUUAAUAUGCUACAUCUAAGUACAGAAUGGUUAAAGUUUUGCUUUGGACCAUCCUCCCUGAAAAUCAAUACCAGUUUGACCGUGGUGGGGGGAAGGAUUCCUUUACUUCUUUGCCUUAAUACUAGAUGCUUUGUGUAAGUGAGUCAGCUGUAUUGACUCAGUUCCCUGUUCUUCUGUUAGGAAACAGGACCUACAAUGAAAGCUCUCUUGGAGUCUUCAAAAUAACUGGCUUAUUAUAUUUUUCCUGAACUGGGUGCAAGAUGUUCAGUCAGUUUCCAGCCUUAAGUUUGCUUCUUUCUUCCAGCCAGAGGGGAAUUCAUCCCUCUGCCUACUUUUCAAGCCUUAAAAAGAAAACAACCCCUCUUUUAAUCUCAGUCUCUGGCCUUACUGGAUUAUUAGGUUACUUAGACACACCUCUGAAAGUUUCAGAAUGCCAUGAAAGACUGGAAGGAAAAAUAGGAAAAGGCAGACGUAGAAUAGAAUAGUUUCACUUGGAAGGGGCCUACAAAGACCUUCAAGUCUAACUGUCACAAAAAAAAAAACAACACCUGUAUGUUUUAAGAUGUGUGUAGGCAGGAGGACACUAAGUCAGCUGAACAUCUCAGGGGAUAUAAAUGCUGUUAAGUUUUUCACGUAGUUUUGGGAAUAUCAAACUAAGGUCUGCAACAGCCAGAAGCCCGGUUACAUUUUAAUACGUAUUAAAUAUAAAAAAUAACAAAACCGUACCGCAGCAUUUAGUGUUCAUGAAGAUGCGCGUAUGAUUGUUAUACUUGUGGCAUUUUUAGGAAAGCACGUCAAGCUUUAAAGUAGAAUAAGACUCCACUGUCUUUCGGUACCUAGAUUACACUGAGAAUUUGUGCUCACAAAGUACAAAAAACACAAACCUUUUCCUCAUUGUCUGCUUUUCCCUUGUGUUCUCCCCUCAGGUAUGGCCCAUUUCAUGUUCCCUCGGAGCUACCUUUGGCUAUAUGGCUGGUCUGAUUAUUGCACCUCUGUGGAUACACUGGAACCGGAAGCAGCUUACAUACAAAAGCAGAUAACUGGCGCAAAGAGAGACAAGAUAAAGGCUUCUCUUUCAUAUCAUUCAAUCUCGCCAGAGUUUUGGGGUCAUCACGAAGAUCAAUCUAACAAGAAAGAUUGCAGUCAUGUUGGAAUAACUUUUUCUUAAGCAAAAGACAACUGAUUAUGUGAAUACCUUCUUUUUAAAGCAUAAAAAAAAAAUGGAGUCACUGC